UACGUAGGCAGCGAGCGUUGUUCGGAGUUACUGGGCGUAAAGAGUGCGUAGGCGGUUUUCUAAGUUUGGUGUGAAAUCUCCCGGCUUAACUGGGAGGGUGCGCCGAAAACUGGAAGGCUUGAGUAUGGGAGAGGUAAGCGGAAUUCCUGGUGUAGCGGUGAAAUGCGCAGAUAUCAGGAGGAACACCGGUGGCGAAGGCGGGUCUCUGGGCCGAUACUGACGCUGAGGAGCGAAAGCAUGGGUAGCGAACAGG
rnacentral:rRNA from 1 species